rnacentral:misc_RNA from 1 species
CCCAAAGCAAAGAGAGGCCUGCAAAGCAAUUUCUUAAGGGGGUAGGAAUAACUUUAUCCUCGAAAUGGCGAAUUUGCCCCCUCGAUCAAGUGGGUUUGGUGACUUUUGCAAUAAAAUAAGCUGCUGGUCUGGCGUAUACGAUGAGAAUCGAGCCUGGGAAAGGAUUCAGAUUCUACGAGGAAUUGUUCCUACGCAACUUUGUGCAUGGAC